GCCGAGGUGGCGGAACUGGUAGACGCGCUAGCUUCAGGUGCUAGUGACCGAAAGGUCGUGGAGGUUCGAGUCCUCUUCUGGGCACCA
rnacentral:tRNA from 1 species